AGUGUUGCCUCCGUAUCGUAGCCAAUGAGGUUACUCCGAGGCGCGAUUAUUGCUAAUUGAAAACUUUUCUAUCCUUGGGCAGGUUGAAAUUUCUAAUGUGCACCACCAGUAUUGAGGUAGUGU
rnacentral:snRNA from 1 species